GACGUAGGGGGCGAGCGUUGUCCGGAUUUAUUGGGCGUAAAGGGCGCGUUGGCGGCUUCUUAAGUUUGAAGUGACAGUGGGUGGCUCAACUACCCAAGGCCUUUGAAAACUGGGGAACUUGAGGACCAGAGAGGGACAUAGAAUUCCGAGUGGAGUGGUGAAAUGCGUAGAUAUCCGGAGGAAUACCAAAGGCGAAGGCAGUGUCCUGGAGGGUGACUGACGCUGAGGCGCGAAAGCUAGGGGAGCGAACAGG
rnacentral:rRNA from 1 species